GACGAACGCUGGCGGCGUGCCUAAUACAUGCAAGUUGAGCGCUGAAGGUUGGUACUUGUACCAACUGGAUGAGCAGCGAACGGGUGAGUAACGCGUGGGGAAUCUGCCUUUGAGCGGGGGACAACAUUUGGAAACGAAUGCUAAUACCGCAUAAAAACUUUAAACACAAGUUUUAAGUUUGAAAGAUGCAAUUGCAUCACUCAAAGAUGAUCCCGCGUUGUAUUAGCUAGUUGGUGAGGUAAAGGCUCACCAAGGCGAUGAUACAUAGCCGACCUGAGAGGGUGGUCGGCCACAUUGGGACUGAGACACGGCCCAAACUCCUACGGGAGGCAGCAGGAGGGAAUCUUCGGCAAUGGACGAAAGUCUGAACGAGCAACGCCGCGUGAGUGAAGAAGGUUUUCGGAUCGUAAAACUCUGUUGGUAGAGAAGAACGUUGGUGAGAGUGGAAAGCUCAUCAAGUGACGGUAACUACCCAGAAAGGGACGGCUAACUACGUG
rnacentral:rRNA from 1 species